rnacentral:sRNA from 1 species
GUACAGCAGGCAGGUCUGAGACAAGGCAAGGUGCAGAAUACCUGACCACAACUCUCAGUACUAGUUGUUACUUGUCUCGAUCACAUUGUUAUUGCUAUAUCUGUCAGGUUUUGGUCACCACUGCUGAAGCUUCGAAGCAUGAUCCUACCUUUAACCAAAAGGAUAGAAUGCUUUUGAAUGCCCACUGGUAGUCACUCAGUCGAAAUAAUGGGUUUGGCCACACAGAUGUCAUUGGCGAGAGGGGUUCAUCAUGAUCAUUGGCUCCAGAGCGCCGAAAUUUCUCCUCACCCUCUCUCCAUGGGACUGAGUUGAUCCCGUUCAUUGCUUGGUUCUUCCACCACGAAUGAUUGACCGCUAGUGGUAGCGGGAACAGAGAGUUGUCUGAACCGUCAACGUGCGUGAUCUCAGUUUCCCCCUCUUCCCUCCCUUUUGGCGUCUCUUCCGCUUUCUCUGUCCAAACUACGUCUGUACAGAAGUUGUCAGUCAGUGCCAGGGCCCUAAAUCAGCCCAGCGGUAGCGCUUUAAUGUCAAAUCUUCACUUCUUCUGCGUUCUUCACCCUUCUCAUGAGGACGGACUGUGGCUUGCAUGUUGAUUCAAUCAAUGUAGAGUGAUUUCUUUCCGCGUGGCAUGUUGUUUGCAACCCCCUCCUCUUUUUUCUUUACCUAUAACUCGCCUGCUUUCUUGACUUCUUGGUCCCAUUUGUUUGGCUGAAAAGUUGCACCUCGCCCAAUUCGGGCUUAAUAGAUGGAUUUUUAUGGUGGAGAAAGCUUUUGCUUUAUGCAGGCCCUUCCUAGUCGGAACGACAACAGUUCCCUCGUAAUGGUACCGGCUAUGCUACUAAGCUGCUGACAGGGUUGAUUGAGGGGGCGGCUUGGUUGCUGAGGGGAAACGUCCUGUUUUCAUUGUUCCCACAACUGAUGUAGGUUUUGGGGUUCUUUUUUGUUGCGGAUAAUAAUUUACACAACUGCGCGGUUCCCAGUUGCUCCAGGUGCUAGCUCCGAUUCUUGCAUAGAGCGAGUUUGCGGCUUUCGUAUGAUACGAGCUCUGUUUCAUAUGGCGCACACGUGGAUAAAGGGGACCAGUGUGCAGCUUGUUCAUUAUUCUCUGGCAACCCUGCUGGAGUAUGGAUGGUCCUGUCACUACAUAUCGUAUAGUUCAUAACAUGGCUCGGAGG